rnacentral:rRNA from 1 species
GAUGAACCCUGGCGGCGUGCCUAAUACAUGCAAGUCGAGCGAACAGACGAGGAGCUUGCUCCUUUGACGUUAGCGGCGGACGGGUGAGUAACACGUGGGUAACCUACCUAUAAGACUGGGAUAACUUCGGGAAACCGGAGCUAAUACCGGAUAAUAUUUCGAACCGCAUGGUUCGAUAGUGAAAGAUGGCCCUGCUAUCACUUAUAGAUGGACCUGCGCCGUAUUAGCUAGUUGGUAAGGUAACGGCUUACCAAGGCAACGAUACGUAGCCGACCUGAGAGGGUGAUCGGCCACACUGGAACUGAGACACGGUCCAGACUCCUACGGGAGGCAGCAGUAGGGAAUCUUCCGCAAUGGGCGAAAGCCUGACGGAGCAACGCCGCGUGAGUGAUGAAGGUCUUCGGAUCGUAAAACUCUGUUAUUAGGGAAGAACAAACGUGUAAGUAACUGUGCACGUCUCGACGGUACCUAAUCAGAAAGCCACGGCUAACUACGUGCCAGCAGCCGCGGUAAUACGUAGGUGGCAAGCGUUAUCCGGAAUUAUUGGGCGUAAAGCGCGCGUAGGCGGCUUUUUAAGUCUGAUGUGAAAGCCCACGGCUCAACCGUGGAGGGUCAUUGGAAACUGGAAAACUUGAGUGCAGAAGAGGAAAGUGGAAUUCCAUGUGUAGCGGUGAAAUGCGCAGAGAUAUGGAGGAACACCAGUGGCGAAGGCGACUUUCUGGUCUGUAACUGACGCUGAUGUGCGAAAGCGUGGGGAUCAAACAGGAUUAGAUACCCUGGUAGUCCACGCCGUAAACGAUGAGUGCUAAGUGUUAGGGGGUUUCCGCCCCUUAGUGCUGCAGCUAACGCAUUAAGCACUCCGCCUGGGGAGUACGACCGCAAGGUUGAAACUCAAAGGAAUUGACGGGGACCCGCACAAGCGGUGGAGCAUGUGGUUUAAUUCGAAGCAACGCGAAGAACCUUACCAAAUCUUGACAUCCUUUGACCCUUCUAGAGAUAGAAGUUUCCCCUUCGGGGGACAAAGUGACAGGUGGUGCAUGGUUGUCGUCAGCUCGUGUCGUGAGAUGUUGGGUUAAGUCCCGCAACGAGCGCAACCCUUAAGCUUAGUUGCCAUCAUUAAGUUGGGCACUCUAAGUUGACUGCCGGUGACAAACCGGAGGAAGGUGGGGAUGACGUCAAAUCAUCAUGCCCCUUAUGAUUUGGGCUACACACGUGCUACAAUGGACAAUACAAAGGGCAGCGAGACCGCGAGGUCAAGCAAAUCCCAUAAAGUUGUUCUCAGUUCGGAUUGUAGUCUGCAACUCGACUACAUGAAGCUGGAAUCGCUAGUAAUCGUAGAUCAGCAUGCUACGGUGAAUACGUUCCCGGGUCU